CUUGGUUUUCUUGUCAGAAGGGCAAGCUGAGUCCGAAGUUCAUAACUCUCUAUUCUAUUCCAGAUCAUAACCUAAUUUUGCCUUGGUUUCUUCAGGGAAAUUUCCCAAAUCCCUCCGAUCGAAUCAAUCUCCGAGAUGAACUUGGUUGAAUCCAAUCAAGCUAAAAACAACUCACUGAUCUCUGAAGCAGCAUCAGAGAGAACACAGUAUCCAUACGUCACUGGUACAUCAGUGAUUGGUAUCAAGUACAAGGAUGGUAUUCUCAUGGCUGCUGAUAUGGCAGGUAGCCUUUACUUUUCCAUUCCUGAAUUUUUAUGACACGUUUAUCUUGCAAUAAAGAUGAGUUGAUUUUAUAAUAUUCUGCGCUUGUUAUUGAUACUAACUACUACUUGAUAAUAUGAUUGUAUAGAUACAGACAUGGUUGGGCUAUGUGUCCACUAAGCUAGCAUUUUUGGUAGUUCGAUUUUACUAUGUAAUUAUGAAUGAAAUGCUUUAUUGCACCUUGUAAACAACAUUUCACCAUAGGAAGCACACAAGUAUGUAAAGAAAUAUGAAUGAUCUGGUGUUCAUGUGUCUUUAAGACAGGGAAUAGAUGAAUCUCCCAUGUAGAUGCAUUACCUGCGCCUC